UACGGAGGGUGCGAGCGUUGUCCGGAAUCAUUGGGCGUAAAGGGCGCGUAGGUGGCCCGGUCAGUCCGUGGUGAAAGCGCGGGGCUCAACCCCGCGUCGGCCAUGGAUACUGCUGGGCUGGAGCACUGUAGAGGCAGGCGGAAUUCCGGGUGUAGCGGUGGAAUGCGUAGAGAUCCGGAAGAACACCGGUGGCGAAGGCGGCCUGCUGGGGCAGUGCUGACACUGAGGCGCGACAGCGUGGGGAGCGAACGAGG
rnacentral:rRNA from 1 species